GGGGGGGGGGGGGGGGGGGCGGGGGGCGGGGGGGGCGGGCGGGCGCGGCGGGGGGGGUGGCGCACGGGUGCGGAGCGCGUGGGGACCUGCCCUUAGGUUCGGAGUAACUCAGAGAAAUUUGAGCUAAUACCGGAUAAUGUCUUCGGACCACAGAUUUAUCGCCUUUGGAUGGGCCCGCGUUGGAUUAGCUAGUUGGUGGGGUAAAGGCCUACCACGGCGACGAUCCAUAGCUGGUCUGAGAGGAUGAUCAUCCACACUGGGACUGAGACACGGCCCAGACUCCUACGGGAGGCAGCAGUGGGGAAUAUUGGACAAUGGGCGAAAGCCUGAUCCAGCAAUGCCGCGUGAGUGAUGAAGGCCUUAGGGUUGUAAAGCUCUUUUACCCGGGAUGAUAAUGACAGUACCGGGAGAAUAAGCCCCGGCUAACUCCGUG
rnacentral:rRNA from 1 species